CUGUGAAAAGCCAUUUCACAUCCCAUCAAAUUGCUACUAUAAAAGUUACUACGAACUUUUGAUGAGAGCUGCCCUUGCUGUUAGGAUGGGCACACAGCUGUCUAUAAAACUCUAGCAAAGAACAAAGUCCUAGCAGUCUCAUUUCAUUGUUCCUACCACACUGACCACCACAUUGCUUUUUGGAUGGAUCAAAAGCAAAACAGGACCAGACAGCUGUAGUUUUAGGGCUGUGCCUUUAAAGCCUGUGUGUUUAUUUUGAACUCCCUCCUCCUCCCUCCACUGCUGGAACGUGCAGCUAGUAAGCAGAAAAAGGAUGAGGAGCUAACUACCAACUAUACUCUGGAAAAACAACUUUUACUCCAUGUCCUCAGAAAAUCAGUCCCAGGUAACUCACUGGCAAGAUGCAGCUGAAGUUAGCUCCACCAGAGAACCCUGCAAACAAAUGCCCAGUUGCUGUGGAUACCCAUCCUUGUCCAGCACCCUAGAGUUCUCUGUUUUGUGUUUAGUGGGAGGUGCCAUCCUACCCAUUCUGGUCCCAAAUUGUUUUCUGAAACAAGUGAAACUUCGUCAGGACUGAGGGAGACUUUGGUGUUCCAGUGUGUGCUGCUGCUGCUCUGCCUCCAGUGCAACAGGUAGGAUGGAGUAACGCCUAGCUAGCUCAUCCCUUUGUUGCUGAACCUAAGUCCAAGGACAAUGGGCUGUGGGAGGGGAGAGAGCACUGGUCAGGACGGGACAGUGGGGAGAGGCUGUAUGUAUUAUACACCUACUGUAAUGUCUUCAUCAGCAUCACCCUCCACGUUUCCCUCACUUACAACUUAUAUAUAUAUAUGUAUUGUAUAUAGCACGUGAAAAGGAUCAAGUUGAAGUAGACGAAACUGAAGAGGGGAACCCAAACAAAGAGGAACAUCCUUGCGCUCCAGCCCGGAUCCUGCUCAUCAUCCACUUGCUGAUUUACAGUAAUUGCUCUGCCAUCCAAGUUUGUGUAAGUGUGCCUGGAUAGAGAUGGGGCAAAAGUUUGCUGAGAAAGUGGAAGAAAUGGCAGUGGCUGUGCCCCCGGCCAUGCCAGGGAGGAGGAGGGUGAGGGUGGGAGCCAGAAACCUGCUGCAGCGCUGCACUUCUUUGUUUGCUGGGAGAACUUGAACAAAAGGAAAAGUCUGAAGAACUCUUUAUCUGCAUCCCUAUCUCGCCGCCAGCCCCUCUCACGCCUCGCCAGGCUCGCCUCUUCCCGGGACUCCUCGCAGCCUCAUCGGUACCUGAGGGGCACAAAGGAGCUUCUGAAGUUUCUCUUUUAAAGCACGCAAAGUGUUUCCUGGAUCUGUUAAAGUUGCAAGACAUGAUGGUUGAAUUUGGUUGAAAAAAAUCUGUUACCUCCAUUCACCAGAGAAGAUGGUAAUGAAAUAUUCUCUUUAACUGCGAUUUUGUAAGCAACAUAUGGAUUAAACAUUGGUUCUACACAACAAUUGGAUUACAAAGUUCUUUCCAUGUUUGGGAUAUACAAAAUAUUUUCUCUAAUUUACCUGGAUUCAAGAUUAUGCUUCACAAACAAGUCUUAUAAAGAAUGUCGUGGGUGGAGGUUGCGCAAUAAAAGGAGGCUAAAACCCAAAAAUGAUUUGAAAUGCGGGAGAUCUUUCUUAUGACCCUCUCCACAGUCAAACAGACGUCUUGGUUCCUCCUACGCAUGGUUGAGGACAAUCCUCCAAACCCAGUGUGGUCAUGGGGGCGAAGGAUGCUGGGAACAAUAAUAGGUGAGAAGGAGCCCAGGACAAGGAGGUGUCUAAUAAGGAGCUGUGGAAGAAUCUUCUCUACAUACAGUAUAUACUGCAGAAGAUGUUGAAGAUAAGAAAUCUGUUAGCUGAAACUGUCGUUCACAAAAGCCCACUAGGAAGUGCCCCAGAUAAUCAGCACACAAAAUGAUGGACAUAUAGAUUUUAUCUUAACCACUUUUUUUUAUAUUGUAUAUAAGUUUUUAUUUUGUUUCAUAUCCAUGAGAAUUGAUGGUGAUUGCUGCAUUAAACACUUUUCAGUAUAACUAUUAUGUUUAUUAAGUAAGGUCAUGGUGCAAUCAAAUUAUUCUCUCUGUUCAGUGCAUAUUAUAGGGUUAAUUGCACACUUCUAAUUGUGCAUCUUUUUGAAUAAAACUUUUAUACCUAAA